rnacentral:rRNA from 1 species
GACGAACGCUGGCGGCGUGCCUAAUACAUGCAAGUAGAACGCUGAAGGAAGGAGCUUGCUCUUUCCGGAUGAGUUGCGAACGGGUGAGUAACGCGUAGGUAACCUGCCUGGUAGCGGGGGAUAACUAUUGGAAACGAUAGCUAAUACCGCAUAACAGUAGAUAUCGCAGGAUAGCUGCUUGAAAGGUGCAAAUGCACCACUACCAGAUGGACCUGCGUUGUAUUAGCUAGUUGGUGAGGUAACGGCUCACCAAGGCAACGAUACAUAGCCGACCUGAGAGGGUGAUCGGCCACACUGGGACUGAGAGACGGCCCAGACUCCUACGGGAGGCAGCAGUGGGGAAUUUUGGACAAUGGGGGCAACCCUGAUCCAGCC